rnacentral:rRNA from 1 species
ACGAGACCUUAACCUGCUAAAUAGCCCGUAUUGCUUUNGCAGUACGNUNGCUUCUUAGAGGGACUAUCGGCUNAAGCCGAUGGAAGUUUGAGGCAAUAACANGUCUGUGAUGCCNUUAGAUGUUCUGGGCNCACGCGCGUUACACUGACACAGCCAGCGAGUUUCUUCCUUGACAGAGAUGUCCGGGNNAUCUUGUUAAACUGUGNNGUGCUGGGGAUAGAGCAUUGCAAUUAUUGCUCUUCAACGANGAAUCCCUAGUAAGCGCAA